ACGCUGGCGGCGUGCCUAACACAUGCAAGUCGAGCGGGGACAUGCGACGGAAGAGAAGUUUUCGGAUGGAUCUGAAGAUGUAUGUUCUAGCGGCGGACGGGUGAGUAACGCGUGAGCAACCUGUCCUUCACAGGGGGAUAACACAGCGAAAGUUGUACUAAUACCGCAUAAGACCACGUUGGGAUAUCCCAAAGGGGUCAAAGGAGCAAUCCGGUGAAGGGUGGGCUCGCGCCCGAUUAGAUAGCUGGUGAGGUAACGGCCCACCAAGUCGACGAUCGGUAGCCGACCUGAGAGGGUGAUCGGCCACAUUGGGACUGAGACACGGCCCAAACUCCUACGGGAGGCAGCAGUGGGGAAUAUUGGGCAAAUGGGGGAAACCCUGACCCAGCAACGCCGCGUGAGGGAAGAAGGUUUUCGGAUCGUAAACCUCUGUCCCAGGUGAAGAGCAAGAGACGGUAACCUGGGAGGAAGCCCCGGCUAACUACGUGCCAGCCGCGGC
rnacentral:rRNA from 1 species